UUCUGUUCUACGUUGAAUAAAGGCAAAUGAAUUGUUAGUUGUGCUGCUACAGAGAUGAAUGCAGCGCCUAGAAACGCAAAGCUGACGUAAACGGAACGUAAAGAAUCGAGGCGCUGACGUUGUUUACGAGACGAGACAGAUCACAGAUAGAGGAAAUAUCGAUUUUGCUGGAUGUCAAUGAAACUGCAAGAAUGUUUCGCACGCUCUAUUCAGCAACUUUGCCCGGCGCACGCGGGUCUAUCUGGCUGCAGAUAGAAAUCUUUCGACGCCUUGGUUCCGCGCGCAUUGUUGUAAACGGUGUGUGUUUAUGAGUGUGUGUGUAUGUGUGUGUCUCCUUGCGGAAUAAUACCGGUGCGUUGCAACAAUAAACCAACCGCCGACGCAUAAUACGACAGCAAUAGCCGGCGGCAGAAUCCGGUGAUUUAUCACACUUGUCUCUUAGUUUCGUGUAUCGCGCUACCAUUCCGUGUCAAUAGUUCCCCGAGUUUGACGUGUCAUAAAUUACGGGGUGCUUGCGAGCUGGCGAUAGGCGUGGUUUGGUGUACGUGACGAUACUUCUUGUCGCAAACCGUCGUGACAAUCCCUCUUUAUAAGAGAGCUAUCGCGACGGCGAGUACUUCCGCGAAGUAAUAAAAAGAAACGUGCCUUUCGUGGCGAAUCGCUCUUCAGAGAUAAAUAUAUAGAUAAGUAACGCAUUUUUCUUUCUCAACCUGUUCAGAUGGACUUUGACAGAAUUAGAGUUGACAAAAUAUCCAUAACGAUGAGACAUUAAUAAGAUUUUUCACUGACAGAAAAGAAUAUGGUUGAUUCAAAUACAUAUUUAUUUGAUUAGUACUAAUAACAUAUUUCACAAAAAAUUAAUAAUACUUAUAUUACACAAGUAAUAUUUUCUAAAUUAUAGAAAGCAUUACUUGUUUUAAAUAAAUAUUAUUGAUUUUCUAUAAAAUACGUUAUUAGUACUAUUCAAAUAUUUAUUUGAAUCGAGCAUCCUUUUCUGUCAGUGUAUAAUUUAUAGUCAUUUUUAAACUCAACCAUAUUUUUAUAGUUGUUUCAACGACAUAUAUUUUGCUUAAACUAUAUUAAUAUUCUCAUAAUCAUAAUAUUGCAUACAACUUGUGAUACGAUUGCCAUGAACGAAAUGGAGAUUUUAAUAUAGUAAUUUGUACUACAAAACAAUCUUAAUUUGUACUAUAAAACCAUAAACAUAUGAUUAUUAUUACCAAUAUUACAGUAAUAAUUAUUAUAAAAAUAAUAUUCCCGACUAUAAUUAUUUUGCUAUGCAAUUAUUGCCGAAAAUAUUACACAUUUUUUUCUCAGUGAAGUAUCUGAAGAUUUAGCUACACUGAAAAGAAGAGUCUUGUUGCAUUAAUUGGAAAUCUGCUAAAUUCAACCAAUAUGUCUGCUAAAAAAUGAACGAGUCGGAAAUCUUGUAGGAAUUAAGGGAUUAUAAAGAGUGUAUCAAAUGUGUUUAUAAUAAUCAGAAAUUCUGCUUGACUUCACCAAGGUGCACUCAAUCAUACAUGUUUGGUGGCUAUAAUUAAAUCAUUUUUCUCAGUGUAAAUAAAUACAUAUUAAGAAAUUUUAUUGAAUCAUAGAAAUAAUUAUAAAGAAAGUUGAAAUACAAAAUCUUACAAAAUCAUU